rnacentral:lncRNA from 1 species
AAUGUGCAAUAUUUACAGCAUCUAAUCUUCAAUAUUUAAUUCAAAAUUAAUAUCAAAAGGUAUUACAAUGAAUUUAACAAAUAUCGCUUUCACUAGACAUUUAAUAAAGAAUUCAAAAAAGGCACUUUGUUUGACAGAUUAGUUGCGUCCGUUGAAGAGUUAAGUAUCUCAUUGAUAAUAAUAGUGGUCAGAAACUCUUAAAUUAUUCCUACAUUAUAACGCACAAAUAUUGAAACAUACAAUAUUAUACAUUCCAUGUUUCAAUAUUUGUGCAUCAUAAUUUAGGAAUAAUUGGGGAAUAAUUUGAGUCUUUUGUGUACAAUUAUAUUUCUAAAUGUUCUAAACAUGUUACGACUGAAAUAUUUUUUUCAAUUAUUGCACAAUUUAUUUCUAAAUUUAAUUUUGCAAAUGUGCUGUUAAGAUAAUUCGCCAUAUCGCUAUUGUUAUGCCAACAUAUCAUUUUAAAAUUUAAUUGCGCAAACAUUUAUUAAUAUUUUAUAAAAAGUUAAUGUUUCUAUAUCUAUUUUCUCAAUUAUGCCCUCAUAAUGACGGAUUAAUGUGUGUGAAUCUUUUACAAUUCUCUUGUUAUACAAUUUUAUAAAUCUUUUCCUAUCGGAGUACAUGCUUUCAUAUUUGUUGACAUUUUGACACAUACUUUAUUGUUCAAACUAUAAAAUGCAGUUAUGAUAGGAUAUCAAACGUGGUGGUCAACGUUGAUGAUUCGGGGGAUAUCAAUCAACCACUGCCUGGAAACAGCGAUGAUAACACAGCUUCUUUGAGUCAGUUGUCAAUUGACGAAUAUUUGCCCACAAACGUUUCUGAGAAUAUCUUCAAGGAAGAAAAAGCUUUUCAUACAGCGUGCGCAAAAAGAUCCUACUUGGAUGGUAAAUAUUUUAAAGUAAAUUACAAACGAUCUACAUUUGACGGUAAUAUUGUAGCUGUCUGGAGACAUGUGUACCGGCGACAGCUAUAACUGGUAGGCUCACAAUAUCGUCGAACUAUACAACGCACUUAAGAAGACGACAUUCCUCAUUGUAUGGUCAAUACAAGAACUAUACAAAAAUUAAACGGCAGCGAUGGAGUAAAGAGGAACCACCUGCUUGUAAACGAACAACAUGUUCGUUCAACCAAGAACAGGUUGAUUGGAACAUUUUGUACUAUGUUCUAGAAAGUGGAGCGCCGUUACAAACUGUGGAGAUGCCAGCAUUUCGCAGAAUGCUUGAUGGUUUAAAAAUAAAAACAGGCGAUGCUUCCGUAAAACACAUGUCCAGGCGUACAGUCGGCUCGAAAAUCGACGCCAUAUACAAGAAGAAUUUGACGAAAAUUCGAAACGCGAUAUCCACAAACAAACAUUUUUGCACAACGGCGGACAUUUAGACGGCCAUGAAUCGGCGAUUUAUUGGCGUUAUAGUCCACAUUGGGUAUUUACAUUCUUAAUUCUUAAUAUAAAUCCUUUACAUCCGGAUUCCACGUUGUCCCGUUUUAAGGUAAAUCUUGCAGUACACAUAUUAAAUGAGUGUCUAUUUCUAACUUUGGUAUGUUAAAUUUAAAAAAAUCAAUUUUAUCGCUCAUAAAAGUUAUAGAAACUGUAUUCGUCAUUCUGCGAAUCAUUUUUUUUUCAUAAUGGUUUGCUGCGAUUCAUAAAUAAUCAAAAUAUCGCAAUUUAGUCGCUUAUUUAACAUUGUACCAUCGUAUAUUUGUUGAAGUUGUACAUAUAUUUUGUGUGGUGUGGCAAUUAUUAUUUACAGUAUCAUACAAUU